UACGGAGGGGACUAGCGUUGUUCGGAAUUACUGGGCGUAAAGGGCGCGUAGGCGGCGUGACAAGUCACUUGUGAAAUCUCUGAGCUUAACUCAGAACGGCCAAGUGAAACUGUUGUGCUAGAGUGCAGAAGGGGCAAUCGGAAUUCUUGGUGUAGCGGUGAAAUGCGUAGAUAUCAAGAGGAACACCUGAGGUGAAGACGGGUUGCUGGGCUGACACUGACGCUGAGGCGCGAAAGCUAGGGGAGCAAACGGG
rnacentral:rRNA from 1 species